rnacentral:lncRNA from 1 species
UUGUGUUGUAAAUCUUUUGUUGUGUACAUGAUCUGUAUAUGUAGAAUAUGUGAAAAACCAGGCUUAACAGGUAUGAUACAACCCAUCUAGAGCAAGCUCUAGUCAGGGGUACAGAGUACAGGGUACUGAGAUAGUGCAUGCACAGGUUAAGCCCUGGUACAGAGAACAGAGUUUUUUUUUAUUUUUCACAGAUUAUGUUUGAUCAUGUAUGAGAUUUACAGGUACACAGAGAGGAUAGCAGGCUUGCUACGGGUUCUGGCGGCCUUAAGUCGACCUGAAUCCUAGCGCCGGUGACGGUCCAUUUUGGGGUCGUUACA